CCUGUUUAUCAAAAACAUUGCUUUAUGAUUUAAGAAUAUAAAGUUUAUUCUGCUCAAUGACUAUAAGUUAAAUAGCCGCGGUAUCCUGACUGUGCUAAGGUAGCGUGAUAAUUUGCCCUUUAAUUGUGGGCUUGUAUGAAUGAAUAAACGAGAAUUUAACUGUCUCUAAAAAUUUUUAUAGAAAUUAAUAUUAAAGUGAAAAAGCUUUGAUUUUAAUAUAGGACAAAAAGACCCUAUAGAGCUUAAUUUUAAAAUUAGUAGGUAACAAAAAUUUAAAAAAUUAAUAUUAUUUAUUUAGUAAAAUAAAAAUUUAACUGGGGCGGUUAAUGAAGUUUAAUAUCUUCUUUAAUUUUUUUAAAGCUUAUAAGCUAAUUAAAAAUAAUAGAUCCUGUUUAAGAAAAAAGGAUAGCUACCUUAGGGGUAACAGACUAAUUUUUUUUGAGAGUUCGUAUUGACAAAAAAGUUUGGCACAUCGAUGUUGGCUUAAGAUAUCCUAAAGAUAGUAGCAGUCUUUAAUGGUAGGUUUGUUCAACCUUUAAAAUCUUACGUGAUCUGAGUUCA
rnacentral:rRNA from 1 species